rnacentral:rRNA from 1 species
GAACGGUAACAGGGAAAAGCUUGCUUUUCCGCUGACGAGUGGCGCACGGGUGCGUAACGCGUAUACAAUCUACCUCUUACAGGGGGAUAGCCUUUAGAAAUGAAGAUUAAUACCCCAUGGUAUCACGGUCCGGCAUCGGACUGUGAUUAAAGUUUCGGCGGUAGGAGAUGAGUAUGCGUUCUAUUAGCUAGUAGGUGUGGUAACGGCACACCUAGGCAACGAUAGAUAGGGGCCCUGAGAGGGGGAUCCCCCACACUGGUACUGAGACACGGACCAGACUCCUACGGGAGGCAGCAGUGAGGAAUAUUGGACAAUGGGCGGAAGCCUGAUCCAGCCAUGCCGCGUGCAGGAAGACUGCCCUAUGGGUUGUAAACUGCUUUUGUACAGGAAGAAACCUUUCCACGUGUGGAGAGCUGACGGUACUGUAAGAAUAAGCAUCGGCUAACUCCGUGCCAGCAGCCGCGGUAAUACGGAGGAUGCAAGCGUUAUCCGGAAUCAUUGGGUUUAAAGGGUCCGUAGGUGGAUCGGUCAGUCAGAGGUGAAAUCCUGCAGCUCAACUGUAGAACUGCCUUUGAUACUGCCGGUCUUGAAUUAUUGUGAAGUGGUUAGAAUAUGUAGUGUAGCGGUGAAAUGCAUAGAUAUUACAUAGAAUACCGAUUGCGAAGGCAGAUCACUAACAAUAUAUUGACACUGAUGGACGAAAGCGUGGGGAGCGAACGGGAUUAGAUACCCCCGGUAGUCCACGCCGUAAACGAUGGUCACUAGCUGUUCGGACUUCGGUCUGAGUGGCUAAGCGAAAGUGAUAAGUGACCCACCUGGGGAGUACGUUCGCAAGAAUGAAACUCAAAGGAAUUGACGGGGGCCCGCACAAGCGGUGGAGCAUGUGGUUUAAUUCGAUGAUACGCGAGGAACCUUACCAGGGCUUAAAUGUAGAUUGCAUUAGCUGGAGACAGCUAUUUCUUCGGACCAUCUACAAGGUGCUGCAUGGUUGUCGUCAGCUCGUGCCGUGAGGUGUCAGGUUAAGUCCUAUAACGAGCGCAACCCCUGUUGUUAGUUGCCAGCAUGUAAAGAUGGGAACUCUAGCAAGACUGCCGGUGCAAACCGCGAGGAAGGUGGGGAUGACGUCAAAUCAUCACGGCCCUUACGUCCUGGGCUACACACGUGCUACAAUGGUAUGGACAAUGAGCAGCCACUUCGCGAGAAGGAGCGAAUCUACAAACCAUAUCACAGUUCGGAUCGGAGUCUGCAACUCGACUCCGUGAAGCUGGAAUCGCUAGUAAUCGGAUAUCAGCCAUGAUCCGGUGAAUACGUUCCCGGGCCUUGUACACACCGCCCGUCAAGCCAUGGAAGCUGGGAGUGCCUGAAGUCCGUCACCGCA